rnacentral:rRNA from 1 species
ACGAACGCUGGCGGCGUGCUUAACACAUGCAAGUCGAACGGUGAAGCGCCUUCCUUUUUGGUGGGUGUGGAUGAGUGGCGAACGGGUGAGUAACACGUGAGUAACCUGCCCCCUUCUUCUGGAUAACCGCAUGAAAGUGUGGCUAAUACGGGAUAUUCUGGGUCUGUCGCAUGAUGGGUCUGGGAAAGAUAUUGUUUCGGUGGGGGAUGGGCUCGCGGCCUAUCAGCUUGUUGGUGGGGUGAUGGCCUACUAAGGCGGUGACGGGUAGCCGGCCUGGGAGGGUGGACGGUCACACUGGGACUGAGAAAAGGACCAGACUCCUACGGGAGGCAGCAGUGGGGAAUAUUGCACAAUGGACGCAAGCCUGAUGCAGCGACGCCGCGUGAGGGAUGGAGGCCUUCGGGUUGUGAACCUCUUUCGCCAGUGAAGCAGGCCUGCCUCGUUUGUGGGUGGGUUGACGGUAGCUGGAUAAGAAGCGCCGGCUAACUACGUG